AAGAACAGAUAAGAUAACCGCCAGGAACACAACGCCAGAAGUCCCGCCCCUGAGUGGCGCGUAAUGAACGGACCGUCCCUCUCCAGUUCUUCAUUGGCCCAGCGACACUGAUGCUUACGGUGGAGACCCUUCUGGGCAUGCCUCUCACCGAUGCCUUAUCUCUAAGAUUCUCCAACAGCUGUCAGCCGACAACAUGCUCAACAUGUAAUAUAGCUAAUCCUUCAAAGCCAACAAGAAUGUGAAGGCCGGUGCAACCUUGAAAACUACUUUGACCAACCUUAACCGCACAAUGACUCUUACUCUGUCCAUAAUAGUGUUUAAGGACAGAUUUUCCCUAUCUUAAACAACAGCAGAGACUGACCAAGUGCUCAUAAUUACCCGUAACAUGCCCACUAAUUUAGCUUGACAAAUUUUAGUCAGGCUUCUCUCCUCCUCAUAGGUUCCUGAACUUUGGCUCAUCCCCAGGCUUAAGCAAGCACUAAGAUACACACACUCCACCCCACCCCCCCUUAACAGCUCAUUCUGAGAACAGGCUAACUACAGAGAGAAACAUUACCUGUUCCCAUCAUGCUCUCUGCUCAGUCCCACCACUUGCCCCCUCAUACAAAUUUCCUGCUAUCCCUGAUUACCCUUCCCUAUAAAAGAAUACCUUUUUCUGUUCGAUUUUGAGACAUUUGCAGAACUUGUAGUCAGAGCGUUCUCCCUAUUGUAAUUGUCUUUUCGAAUAAAGUUUCUUCUUACA
ensembl:lncRNA